AGCAGCAGGGGAACAGCCAGCCAGCCCCUGUCUGAGGUGGGAGAGGGGAGAGCAGCAGGGGAACAGCCAGCCAGCCCUGUCUGAGGUGGGAGAGGGGAGAGCAGCAGGGGGACUACAGCACCAGCUCAGGUCCAACGUGGUCAUAUUGGGUUUGUGGUAUCCACCCAUCCAUUCACACUCUGCAUAGCCAGCAUACCUGGUACCUCUCCAGGAGGGGAGACUCCUAACCUAGGAUAACCUGCUCAGUAUUACUCUGCAUAGCCAGCAUACGUGGUACCUCUCCAGGACUCUGCAUAGCCAGCAUACCUUGUACCUCUCCAGGACUCUGCAUACCUGGUACCUCUCCAGGACUCUGCAUAGCCAGCAUACCUGGUACCUCUCCAGAAGGGGAGAGUUCUAAUCUAGGAUUACCUGCUCAGUGUCACCCUGUGAUGGGGAGCAGAUUGUGUCAUAGCACCAUGCGGGUCUUAGUCCUCCCAGUCACACAGGGAUCAUAGCUCUCAGAGCUCGUUAAGUCACUCAGACACUUAACACACAAAUUCCAAGCGACAUGUGACACAUCCAUCCGUCUGAGACGGAGUGGAAGGGUGGACCAUUCCCCAAACCAGGCCUGUAUCCUUAAUGAUGGACCAUUUCCCAAAUCAGGCCUGCAUCCUUAAUGAUGGACCAUUCCCCAAACCAGGCCUGUAUCCUUAAUGAUGGACCAUUUCCCAAAUCAGGCCUGCAUCCUUAAUGAUGGACCAUUCCCAAAACCAGGCCUGUAUCCUUAAUGAUGGACCAUUUCCCAAAUCAGGCCUGCACCCUUAAUGAUGGACCAUUCCCAAAACCAGGCCUGCAUCCUUAAUGAUGGACCGUUCCCCAAACCAGGCCUGCAUCCUUAAUGGUGGACCAUUCCCCAAACCAGGCCUGCAUCCUUAAUGGUGGACCAUUCCCCAAACCAGGCCUGCAUCCUUAAUGAUGGACCAUUCCCCAAACCAGGCCUGCAUCCUUAAUGAUGGACCAUUCCCCAAACCAGGCCUGCAUCCUUAAUGGUGGACCAUUCCCCAAACCAGGCCUGCAUCCUUAAUGGUGGACCAUUCCCCAAACCAGGCCUGCAUCCUUAAUGGUGGACCAUUCCCCAAACCAGGCCUGUAUCCUUAAUGGUGGACCAUUCCCCAAACCAGGCCUGCAUCCUUAAUGAUGGACCAUUCCCCAAACCAGGCCUGCAUCCUUAAUGGUGGACCAUUCCCCAAACCAGGCCUGCAUCCUUAAUGAUGGACCAUUCCCCAAACCAGGCCUGUAUCCUUAAUGAUGGACCAUUCCCCAAACCAGGCCUGCAUCCUUAAUGGUGGACCAUUCCCCAAACCAGGCCUGCAUCCUUAAUGAUGGACCAUUCCCCCAAAAGGGUGGCUACUUUGAAGAAUCUCAAAUACAUUUUGAUUUGUUUAACACUUUUUUGGUUACUACAUCUAUCCAUAUGUGUUAUUUCAUAGUUUUGAUGUCUUCACUAUUAUUCUACAAUGUAGAAAAUAGUAAAAAUAAAGAAAAACUCUUGAAUGAGUAGGUGUGUCCAAACGUUUGCCUGGUACUGUAUAUUUAACACUGUCACGUCCUGGCCAGUAAAAGGGUUAAUUGUUAUUGUAGUUUGGUCAGGACGUGGCAGAGGGUAUUUGUUUUAUGUGGUUCAGGGUGGUGUGUUAGUUAGGAGGGCGUUUGAUUUAU
rnacentral:lncRNA from 1 species